CAGCAGCCGCGGGAAUACGAAGGGGGCUAGCGUUGCUCGGAAUUACUGGGCGUAAAGGGAGCGUAGGCGGGUCGUUUAGUCAGAGGUGAAAUCCCGGGGCUCAACCUCGGAACUGCCUUUGAUACUGGCGACCUUGAGUAUGGGAGAGGUGAGUGGAACUCCGAGUGUAGAGGUGAAAUUCGUAGAUAUUCGGAAGAACACCAGUGGCGAAGGCGACUCACUGGCCCAUUACUGACGCUGAGGCUCGAAAGCGUGGGGAGCAAACAGGAUUAGAUACCCCAGUAGUCCCUGUCUCUUAUAC
rnacentral:rRNA from 1 species